rnacentral:rRNA from 1 species
UACGGAGGGUGCGAGCGUUGUCCGGAAUCAUUGGGCGUAGAGCGCACGUAGGCGGACUGUUAAGUCGGAUGUGAAAUCCCUCAGCUUAACUGAGGAAGUGCACUCGAAACUGGCAGUCUUGAGUAUGGAAGAGGGUCGCGGAAUUCCCGGUGUAGAGGUGAAAUUCGUAGAUAUCGGGAGGAACACCGGUGGCGAAGGCGGGUCUCUGGGCCGAUACUGACGCUGAGGAGCGAAAGCGUGGGGAGCGAACAGG